CAAGUCGAACGCUUUGUGGUUCAACUGAUUUGAAGAGCUUGCUCAGAUAUGACGAUGGACAUUGCAAAGAGUGGCGAACGGGUGAGUAACACGUGGGAAACCUACCUCUUAGCAGGGGAUAACAUUUGGAAACAGAUGCUAUACCGUAUAACAAUGACAACCGCAUGGUUGUUAUUUAAAAGAUGGUUCUGCUAUCACUAAGAGAUGGUCCCGCGGUGCAUUAGCUAGUUGGUAAGGUAAUGGCUUACCAAGGCGAUGAUGCAUAGCCGAGUUGAGAGACUGAUCGGCCACAAUGGGACUGAGACACGGCCCAUACUCCUACGGGAGGCAGCAGUAGGGAAUCUUCCACAAUGGGCGAAAGCCUGAUGGAGCAACGCCGCGUGUGUGAUGAAGGGUUUCGGCUCGUAAAACACUGUUGUAAGAGAAGAAUGACAUUGAGAGUAACUGUUCAAUGUGUGACGGUAUCUUACCAGAAAGGAACGGCUAAUACGUGCCAGCAGCCGCGGUAAUACGUAUGUUCCAAGCGUUAUCCGGAUUU
rnacentral:rRNA from 1 species